CGGCCGGCCGCGGGAGCAUGGCCACGGGCAGCGGCGGCGCCGCGCUCAGCACCGCGGACAGCGCCGCCAGGAUGAACGGGCUGAGCCCCGGCCCGGCCGGCAUCGCCAUGAAGGACCACGAUGCCAUCAAGCUGUUCGUGGGGCAGAUCCCCCGCAACCUGGAGGAGGGGGACCUCAAGCCCCUCUUCGAGGAGUUCGGCAAGAUCUACGAGCUCACGGUGCUGAAGGACAGGUUCACCGGCAUGCACAAAGGCUGCGCCUUCCUCACAUACUGUGCCCGGGACUCUGCUCUGAAAGCCCAGAGUGCGCUGCAUGAGCAGAAGACGUUACCUGGGAUGAAUCGCCCCAUCCAGGUGAAGCCAGCGGACAGCGAGGGCCGAGGAGAAGACAGGAAGCUCUUUGUGGGGAUGCUGGGGAAGCAGCAGAGCGAAGACGAUGUAAGGCGGCUGUUUGAACCCUUUGGCCAGAUCGAAGAGUGCACCAUCCUCAGAGGGCCCGAUGGAGCCAGCAAAGGAUGUGCCUUUGUAAAAUAUGGGAGCCACGGGGAGGCCCAGGCAGCCAUCAACAGCCUGCACGGCAGCCAGACCAUGCCGGGAGCCUCCUCCAGCCUGGUGGUAAAGUUUGCAGACACAGACAAGGAAAGGACUUUAAGGCGGAUGCAUCAGAUGGCAGGACAACUGGGAAUCUUCAACCCGAUGACCAUCCAGUUUGGAGCCUACGGGGCAUAUACGCAAGCGAUAAUGCAGCAGCAGGCAGCCCUGAUGGCUGCAGCACAAGGGACCUGCCUGAACCCCAUGGCAGCCAUCGCCGCAGCCCAAAUGCAGCAGAUGGCAGCCUUUAACGUCAGCGGACUAGUUGCUGCUCCUAUGACCCCCUCAUCAGGUACAAGCACACCUCCAGGGAUCAGCACAGCGCCCGUCCCCAGCAUAGCCACUCCCAUUGGGGUGAAUGGGUUCAGCCCCCUCCCACCACAGACCAAUGGGCAGCCAGCAUCCGAGACCAUUUACACCAAUGGAAUCCAUCCAUACCCAGCUCAAAGUCCCACUGUGGCAGAUCCCCUCCAACAAGCCUACGCAGGCAUGCAGCACUAUGCAGCAGCAUACCCAGCAGCCUAUGCACCUAUCAGCCAGGCCUUUCCCCAGCAAGCGCCCAUCAUUCCACAGCAGCAGAGAGAAGGUCCCGAAGGAUGUAACCUGUUUAUUUAUCACCUGCCCCAGGAGUUCGGAGAUGCGGAGCUCAUGCAGAUGUUUUUGCCUUUUGGCAAUGUCAUCUCUGCCAAAGUCUUUGUUGACCGUGCCACCAACCAAAGUAAAUGCUUUGGUUUCGUCAGUUUUGACAAUCCAACUAGUGCUCAGGCAGCCAUUCAGGCCAUGAACGGCUUCCAGAUCGGCAUGAAGAGGCUAAAGGUCCAACUAAAGCGGCCAAAAGAUGCCAACAGACCCUACUGACCCCUGCUCACCCUGGCCCUGCAAACAGGUGCUAUCUGGGCUCAUGGCCCUAAGGCAUAUGCACCCCCAAAGGUGUGGCUCUGCAGAGGCAAUGCACACUCAGAACGCCACUCACAGACCAGGCCAAUCAUUGCUCCAAGAUGGCCCCCCAGUUGCCUAGCAACCCUCUAGCUGUUGUGGGAGACCCAAACCAAAACUAUCUCUCCCAAAUAAACCGAAACUGUUGGAUGCCCUGCAGCGUAUGAAGAGUAUUAACCCUUUUCCCAAGUGCAGUAUCCAAACUUGUAACUCUCUUUCUUUGCAACAUAUCAUGGAGGAGGCGGAAGCGAAGGAGGAGAAGAAAUGCUGGCGAAAAAGAGAGCCAUCGUGGUUGUAUCUUCUUUUUCUUUUUUAAUUUUUGAAUCAGUUUUGUUUGUUUCUUAACAAGAAAGAAAAAGACACAGUGAUGUUGGAGAAAAGACAAACAGGUGCAGAUAUUUGCUGAGUCAGACUAUGAAAUGGUGGCUGCUGGAGAAGACUUUGAAUUCCUCACAAGGAGAGAGGUGGGAUUUUUGGAAGGAAAAACAAACCAACCUAGGAUUGAGAGCUAGGACAGGUCAUUCAUGAGGAUGAACCCUACCUUUUUAAAGCACUCAUUUGCUGCUACAAGUUUCAAAGGAGGAACUAGGAAAGAGGAUCCAAAUGGAUAUAAACCAAAGCCAGUGGGAUUGGACCAGGCGUGUAUGUUUCACCUGGAUAACGUUUUGUUUUAAAAGGGAAAGAGAAAUUGAUUUUUUUCCAUAUCUGGCUGGAAAAAAAAAAUCAAAGGCUAAGCGCAUGUUGGACUUAUAGAAGAGAUAUAUAAAUACGUUUAUAUAUAUAUAUAUAUACACAUAUAUAUAUAUAUAUAUAUACACACACACAUACACACACCAUGGAGCAGGGCGGAGGGAUGUGCCCCUCUCCUUGCUUGUCACUGGCACAGGGACAUAGGAUUUACUUCUUUCAAAGUCAUAUCAUUCCUUAGAGUUUAGGGACCAAAGGACUACUGCUUUUUUAAAAAUAUAUAUAAAUAAAUUAAUUUAACAAAAAAACAAAGAAAAAAGGUAGACGUAUCACGUAACAGCUGCGAGCGUUUCAAAAAGAAACACAAAUAGAGGGAAACUAGAAAGAGCUUUGUUUACCGUGUCGUGUGUUCCAGUGGCCCAGCGACUCCAUAGGCUGUAGGAGCCCAAGGGACCAGAAAGCGGGGAAGUUUUUCCAAGUCUAUGGAAAGUGAAAUCGUGGCAUUUCUGUCAUGGCAACUUCUUCUCGCACCCCUGUCCCACCCCAGACAAAAACAUAGAAAUGAAGAUUUUGGCUGGUAAGUAGAGCUGGUUGAAAGAUCCAAUUUUGCCUCCACCGAGAACAUGGAAGAAAUCAUUCCAUUUGAAAUUGUUAAGGAAGAUUUGGGUUUUGUCAAAGGAAAAUUUUUAAAGAAAGCAAAGAUGUUUGUUUCAAAGGAAAAUUUUCAUUUUGUUUUGAGUUCUUGAGAAAUUGAAAAUUCCAUCCAGAUUGGCCUGUUUUUCACUACACAUUUCAAUUUUGAUUAAACUCCCUUUGUGACAAAAAACGAUUUUGGCUGAGAAAUGUCAACCAGCUCUACUGCUGAGACAAUUAUGAGAAACGUGUUGCAACCUUCACUAGCUCCUGAGAUAUAUAUGAUCUCCUCGGCCUCUCCUUUACACUGUGUGCGAGAUGUGAAUUGGGGCCAUAACGUUGUACAUCCAAAUCCAACUCUGUUACACCAGUGCAUCCCUUGCUGAGGUCGCUGCAUUACCUGGGCAUAGCCGAUCAGAAUUUGGUUCAUGGGUUGCAGAUAUAUUAACAUAUGAUACCUGAUGCUUCAGCAUAAGACUAUAUCAGACUGUGCCAAAUAUGUAUGUGGAGCACACGUCCCCUCCAGGUGCUUACAUGUUUCAUUGUGAAAACAAAAGAUUUUCUUUCCCACACACCCUUCACCACCUCUCAGAUUUCCUAUCAGCAGGGCAGAUUUGCUCAAGGUCAGAUAUUUGCAUCAUGGUAUAAAUCUUCCCCGCCAGCUGAUCUCACUGAUCGCUGCAUGCAUCCAAAGGUAAAAUUCAAGCCAGGAGAGGCAGUGCGGGAGGCUGUUAUUAACUAUAGUGGACCAGACUCUGCACUGAUUUAUAUUCCCUGCAAUCCCAGUGGAGUCAAUUCGAUUGUAUGGGGCAUCCAUCAGUACAAAGUUUGGCCCAUUGAGUUUAAACAAGGGCUGAAUUCAUCCCUGAGGUAUCAUAUAAUCAUAGAAACGUAGGGCUGGAAGGGACCUCAAGACAUUAUCAAGUCCAGCUCUCCCUCAUGAAAGCAAACCUUCAUCUUUCCCCACCUCCAGGCCCAGAACAAAAAAACUAGCAACUUGGUCAUAUACAAAAAAUAAAACAAGAGAGAGGGCAAACGUCUGAGAGACUAGCAGCCUCUGGGUGAGGUCAGAUUUUUCAUGUCAUGGAGAUUUAUAGUCAUAGCAUGAAAACUUGACUGCACUGGAAUCAGGUGUUUCGCCAUUGACUUCAAUGGGGUCAGGAUUUCACCUGUGGAUUGGAAAGCCAGAAGGGACUGCAUAACUCAGUGAUUCCUGCAUCGAACACAAUAAUUUUGCAGAAUGGUAGAAGCAGAUAUCCCCUGCCAUCCAUAAAUAUGUAUAUACCAGUGGGCUCACAAUCACUCUUGUCUCACCCGUCCCUUUACUUCUUGUCUUUGAUGUUCUCCAGGGUGGCUGAAGGUUUGCUCCCCUCCUCGCAACCAUUGGAAAGGCCUUGCCUUCAAGUCUGAGAGGAUGUGCAGUCAUGGCCCUUUAAAACUCCCCGUCCUGCAGGGAGGGAAUGUCCUUUUUGAGAGGAACUCAUUGUUAUUCAAUGGAAUUCACCCUGCAGAGCAGAAACCCCCAGAUAGGAUAGAUGGGACCUUAAAUGGGCCGGACUAUAUCUCCUGUGGGAUCUUAAAGGAGCAGGCCUGUAGCACUUUGUUUUAAAUUUCUUCACACAUCUAUCACUUCUCUUUUCUUAGUUUCUGUCACAACUCGUGUUUCCCAUGGGCAGCAGGCUGUGCUUUCCCCAGUGCCUGAACCUGUCACCUUGCAAGCAGUUGGAAGGAAACAUCAUAAGGCUUACAAAAAUAGAGGGGAGUGAUUCAGGAUCUAAAACCAUGCCCCUGAAUUGUGCUCCAGAGUCAACUCAAGGGAGAGGAGAGCAUUUCUGAAGCCUCAAAAUGAGCACCUUCCUCAGAUGUCUCCAUCCCUGACUCCACGAUGCUUUCACACUCAUAGUAACUAUAAGCGUGCCAAUGCAUGGACCACCUUCUGUUCCCUGCAAGCAUUACCCAGGAGCGUUACCUAGAAGAGUAUUCCUUGACAUGCAGUAUUCCAUCCAUUGUCAUUACCUAUAGGGCUUGGACUUACAAGGAACUCUUUGAUCCAGAUCCACAUAACCAACUGAAAUGCCACAGGAUCCAUUAUGCACCAGCCAAAUGCUGGGUGUUGAAAUGGUCACAGACCUGCUCAGUUUAUACUACCAGUGCAUUUACUUGGAUUCACUGCUGCUCUGCUGGGCUAGGUUUAUGGUUUAAGUAGGUGUUAAUUAUCAUGCUGUGUAUGGGAGAUCCUGCUGCCUUUGACCUGUUUAGAACUAAAUUAGACUCUAUUUCAAACUAAAAUUGUUUGCAGCUAGGCAGGAAGGAAGAGGGUAUAAGGAAUGGUGCUGUACACGCACUGCAUGGUUAGAGCAGAGGACUGGGAGUUGGGACUCAUGGCCUUUAUUCCUGACAUUGCUGCAGAUUCAUUGGAUGGGAUAAAAGCUCUGUUUAAAGUCACUGUCCUUGUUCUGCCUCAGUUUUAAAACAGGAGCAAUAAUAGUUCCCUAACUCACAAGACACAUUGUGAGGCACGUUUAAUCGAUGUUUGCAAAGUGCUUUGAGAUCUUUGCAUGCAACGCACUGUAGAAGUGAAAAAUAUUAUGUCUGUAUAGCGGUCAGAUACUGAAUUGCCGGCCCUAAAGUACGUCACUCAGAGCCUUUCAAGAAAACCCUUCUACUCCAACAGUACUAACUAAACCAGGGGCUGAUCCUAUGCUAUUGGAGCAGGAUCCAUCCAUCCCAUUGCAGCUUUGCCACUGACUUCAACAUGUACUGAAUCAGGCUCCCACCGCAGGCUGCCCCCUAGCCUCAGCCUGCUGUUUGCCCCGCUGAAUGUACAAAGAAAAGAAGUAGCUGGCACCUGGCACCAGGCACGGCUCUCACAAUGCUAGUAGGGGUAGAAAGAAGCCCAUACUGUUGAGCAUUCAGGGGACAAGGGAGCUGGUUGACUAAAGGUUUGUGGAAGCAAUCUAACCAAAGAGCUUCUAAAGCAAGUAUGUAGAGCCAGGCCACUCAUAAAGCCUAGCUGUUGUUUAGUGCCAAAUUCCAUGCUACUGAGGGUAAAUGUGGUCAGAAAUUCUGUAUUUCUAAGACUAGGGGUUGUCUCCAAACCCUCCUUGUUUUUUGCAUCUCUCGAGCCAUCUCCUGCCUUACAGUCCCAGGCUCUGAGAGUCAUAUUUGAGUCACAGCAUUGAUGAACAUACACCAACAUACUCCACAGCACUCGCACCUUCUUUAGCCUCUCUGGUGACUGCAGAUACCCCACAAGGGAGGUGGGCUCUGUGUCUCUUGAGCAAUAUUAACCAAGGGCCAGAUCCUGCUCUCAGCUGCACUGGUGUAACUUCACCCACAUUUGUUCUUCAGUACCUAGUGACCAAUCACUUUACAACAUGACUUUUGUGGGUACUAGUUGGCCAUGAAUGGGUUGCCCAAAGCCACAAGGGGAGGAGAGGAGGUCCGAGAUGGAAUUUAGGAAAUGUCCAGCCGAACAGAAUGCAGGAUGGACAAGGCAUGUGAAGAGACUAGAUGUGUCUAGUUGCCCUUCACAGCUCACAUGCCCUGGUUUGGUCGCUUGGCCACUGGACUCCUUUUUCUGUGAUUCAUUGUUACAUUUCCUAGUGGUUUAGAACAGAAUGCUUUUGUAGAACGUUAGCAUUUAACGUAGGAUAACUCUCCAUUUGAAAACAAAAAAAAAAAAGACAAUCGACUUUAGUGAUCAUGUGAAAGUGACUUUUUUUUUAAAAAAAAAUGAAAAAAAGCAACAACA